rnacentral:misc_RNA from 1 species
CCAAUAGCGUAUAUUAAAGUUGUUGCAGUUAAAAAGCUCGUAGUUGAAUUUCGGGAUUGACACAUCGGUCGUGCCUUAAGGGGUAUGAACUGGUGUAGUCAAUUUCUCACCUUCUGGAGAACGGCGAUGCCCUUAAUUGGGUGUCACGGGGAACCAGGACCUUUACUUUGAAAAAAUUAGAGUGUUUAAAGCAGGCAUUUUGCUUGAAUACAUUAGCAUGGAAUAAUAAAAUAGGACGGCAUGAUUCUAUUUUGUUGGUUUCUAGGAUCACCGUAAUGAUUAAUAGGGAUAGUUGGGGGCAUUAGUAGUCAAUUGUCAGAGGUGAAAUUCUUGGAUUUAUUGAAGACUAACUACUGCGAAAGCAUUUGCCAAGGAUGUUUUCAUUAAUCAAGAACGAAAGUUAGGGGAUCGAAGACGAUCAGAUACCGUCGUAGUCUUAACCAUAAACUAUGCCGACUAGGAAUCAGACGAUGUUAAUUUUUUAAUGACUCGUUUGGCACCUUACG